rnacentral:siRNA from 1 species
CUUCGUCACCGUUAACCAUGUGC